UGGGGAAUUUUGGACAAUGGGCGCAAGCCUGAUCCAGCAAUGCCGCGUGCAGGAUGAAGGCCUUCGGGUUGUAAACUGCUUUUGUACGGAGCGAAAAGGUCUGCCCUAAUACGGUGGGCUCAUGACGGUACCGUAAGAAUAAGCACCGGCUAACUACGUGCCAGCAGCCGCGGUAAUACGUAGGGUGCGAGCGUUAAUCGGAAUUACUGGGCGUAAAGCGUGCGCAGGCGGUUAUAUAUGACAGAUGUGAACUCCCCGGGCUCAACCUGGGACCUGCAUUAGUGACUGUAUAGCUAGAGUACGGUAGAGGGGGAUGGAAUUCCGAGUGUAGCAGUGAAAUGCGUAGAUAUGCGGAGGAACACCGAUGGCGAAGGCAAUCCCCUGGACCUGUACUGACGCUCAUGCACGAAAGCGUGGGGAGCAAACA
rnacentral:rRNA from 1 species